CAGCUCCAGAGUGCAGUUUAAGUUCGGCCACUCUGCAUUCAAAUGCAAUGGAAUGGAAAAUUUUGGGGGAGAAGAAAAAGCACUCAUUUCAGGACCUGAUUGAAAAUCCAUAUGCGGACAGUUAGAUGCUGCUCGACCUGCUGAGUUCCUCAAACAGAUUGUUUUGUUGCCCCAGAUUCCAGCAUCCACUGUCUCUUGUCUGCUGUCUCUCCAAGCAGCUUGCUGCCCUAGGCAGCUCAACAGAAAGGCUACACAGGGACCAGGAGAUCACAAGCAACAAUGGCAGCCACAAAAUAAAGAAACCCAGAAGAACCUUUUAAUAAAAAGAAGACCAUCAAGCACCCAAUGUGCAGAAAAG